CAGCAGCCGCGGGAAUACAUAGGGUGCGAGCGUUAAUCGGAAUUACUGGGCGUAAAGCGUGCGCAGGCGGUUAUAUAAGACAGAUGUGAAAUCCCCGGGCUCAACCUGGGACCUGCAUUCGUGACUGUAUAGCCAGAGUACGGUAGAGGGGGAUGGAAUUCCGCGUGUAGCAGUGAAAUGCGUAGAUAUGCGGAGGAACACCGAUGGCGUAGGCAAUCCCCUGGACCUGUACUGACGCUCAUGCACGAAAGCGUGGGGAGCAAACAGGAUUAGAUACCCCGGUAGUCCCUGUCUCUUAUAC
rnacentral:rRNA from 1 species